rnacentral:rRNA from 1 species
GAAAACGACUGCUAAGACUGGAUAGGAGAUAAGAAGGCAUCUUCUUAUUUUUAAAAGACCUAGCAAUAGGUAUGCUUAGGGAAGAGCUUGCGUCACAUUAGUUAGUUGGUGGGGUAAUGGCUUACCAAGACGAUGAUGUGUAGCCGGGCUGAGAGGUCGAACGGCCACAUUGGGACUGAGACACGGCCCAAACUCCUACGGGAGGCAGCAGUAAGGAAUUUUCGGCAAUGGAGGAAACUCUGACCGAGCAAUGCCGCGUGAACGAUGAAGUAUUUCGGUACGUAAAGUUCUUUUAUUAGGGAAGAAAAGAUGGUGGAAAAACCAUUAUGACGGUACCUAAUGAAUAAGCCCCGGCUAACUAUGUGCCAGCAGCCGCGGUAAUACAUAGGGGGCAAGCGUUAUCCGGAAUUAUUGGGCGUAAAGGGUGCGUAGGCGGUUAAAUAAGUUUAUGGUCUAAGUGCAACGCACAACGUUGUGAUGCUAUAAAAACUGUUUAGCUAGAGUUGGAUAGAGGCAAGUGGAAUUCCGUGUGUAGUGGUAAAAUGCGUAAAUAUACGGAGGAACACCAGAAGCGAAGGCGGCUUGCUGGGUCUUAACUGACGCUGAGGCACGAAAGCGUGGGGAGCAAACAGGAUUAGAUACCCUGGUAGUCCACGCCCUAAACGAUGAGUACUAAACGUUGGAUAAAACCAGUGUUGAAGUUAACACAUUAAGUACUCCGCCUGAGUAGUACGUACGCAAGUAUGAAACUUAAAGGAAUUGACGGGACUCCGCACAAGCGGUGGAUCAUGUUGUUUAAUUCGAAGGUACCCGAAAAACCUCACCAGGUCUUGACAUGCUUUUGCAAAGCUGUAGAAAUACAGCGGAGGUUAUCAGAAGCACAGGUGGUGCAUGGUUGUCGUCAGCUCGUGUCGUGAGAUGUUGGGUUAAGUCCCGCAACGAGCGCAACCCUUGUUGUUAAUUGCCAUCAUUAAGUUGGGGACUUUAGCAAGACUGCCAAUGAUAAAUUGGAGGAAGGUGGGGACGACGUCAAAUCAUCAUGCCCCUUAUGACCUGGGCUACAAACGUGAUACAAUGGCUGUUACAAAGGGUAGCUAAAGCGUAAGCUUCUGGCGAAUCUCAAAAAAGCAGUCUCAGUUCGGAUUGAAGUCUGCAACUCGACUUUAUGAAGUUGGAAUCGCUAGUAAUCGCGAAUCAGCAUGUCGCGGUGAAUACGUUCACGGGGUUUGUACACACCGCCCGUCA